rnacentral:lncRNA from 1 species
GGUGCAAUAGGAGUAAGGCCUAGAUGACAGAGGAGUUGGAACUUGAGUCUGAUUGAGUUUGAACAUUUUUAUUUUUUUAUUUGGAAUUUUGUACUCUAUUUUUUUUUUGGGAUGAUUUUUUUCAUUAGUUUAAUUAGUUGGGAUUUAGUGUUUUCUAUGUAUAUUUGUGAGUUUUUAAUUUUUUGUAGAAACCCCAUAAUUUUUUACGACACUAUAAUUACGAGCCAAAACUGAAAGGAGUUGUAGUCCUACCAGUUAAGUAAAAUAUUCCCUUUACAUUUCUAGUUUCACAUCAUGGACAAUGUGCCGAAUAAAGUGUGGGAGUGACUUAGGAAAAUUUUUAAAAUUUUCUGUUAUGUUCUUUCUUUAGUUUUUAGUUUUUAAUUUUUUUUCUUUACAUGUUUUCUGUGUGCUUGAGCUUGUUGGAAUACAAGUGGUUGGUUUGGAGCAUAUACCUAGGUUGUUUGUUUAAAUUGGAAAUUUAACCUGAAAUUAAAUAAUUAUGUUGUUUUCCUGUUGCAAUCAAUUUUGAU